AAUGUGCAUAUGUAAUAAUUUAGAAAAGAAAAAAAAACAUGUAGGGUUAAUUUCUGUGGGUUCGCGAAUACAUUUCUUCUCUUCAAUUUUCCGUCUCCUCCAUCAUCUCCUCCGUCGUCUCCUCCGCUCUAUUCAUUUUGCCUUUUCCUUGAAUCUCUGUGUUGUUCGUUCCGCUGCUAAGCUUCAUUUCAUUCGCUCUGUUCCAACUCCGCCGACCUGUUCCAUCACUUUCAAGCUCAAGCUCCGAUCUCCGCUUUUAGGGAGUUGGUAAAUCUGCAGUUUUUAAGUAGCUUGAUUGGACAUUCUGUUUUGGUAAGUUGGAUUUCACAUGUUCUUGUUUACAAAUAUAGUUUUGGUUUGAAGAAAACAUAAGCUAUAUUACCUCCAGUUGGGAUUAUAUGGGGAGGAACAACUAAUCGAGGUUGACUGAAAUUAAAAGUUGGCUAGCCACCAAAGAAUUGGACCAACGAAUUGAUCUUAGGCGACUUCUUGAUCUCCUUGCGCUUGAUCUUAUUACUCAACUGAUGGUUUUCAAGACGACUUAAUGAUAACCGUUAAAUGGACCAAUCUCGAGAGAACUUACUGGAAUUACAAGUCUUAAACUUGUGUAAGUCUUUGUAUAAUUUCACCGUUGUGUAUUAGUUCAUUUAGGUGAUAUACAUCCUUAGUUGAAGUUUUGUGCCAUGUCAUGUGAUUUGUUUAUGAUGGAUUGUGUCUCCUUUGUUUCAAGGAUGUCUCAAACAAUGACUUGUGUAGAACAAUACCAAUUAGAGGACCAUUGAGCACAUACCUUUAAACAAGUAGGUUUCUGAAUUUUUUAAACUAAAAACACAAUGAACAAUCAUGAUGAGUACUUAUAUUAUUUAAAUUACUUUUAAAUACAUUAUUUACUUUUCUUUUAU